UACGUAGGGUGCAAGCGUUGUCCGGAAUUAUUGGGCGUAAAGAGCUCGUAGGCGGUUUGUCGCGUCUGCUGUGAAAACGCGAAGCUCAACCUCGCGCCUGCAGUGGGUACGGGCAGACUAGAGUGCGGUAGGGAGAUUGGAAUUCCUGGUGUAGCGGUGGAAUGCGCAGAUAUCAGGAGGAACACCGAUGGCGAAGGCAGAUCUCUGGGCCGUAACUGACGCUGAGGAGCGAAAGCGUGGGGAGCGAACAGG
rnacentral:rRNA from 1 species